rnacentral:rRNA from 1 species
CCUACGGGUGGCAGCAGUGAGGAAUAUUGGUCAAUGGUCGGGAGGCUGAACCAGCCAAGCCGCGUGAGGGAUGAAUGUACCGCGUAUCGUAAACCUCUUUUGUCAGGGGACAAAGUCGGGGACGUGUCCCCGUAUGAGUGUACCUGAAGAAAAAGCAUCGGCUAACUCCGUGCCAGCAGCCGCGGUAAUACGGAGGAUGCGAGCGUUAUCCGGUUUUAUUGGGUUUAAAGGGUGCGCAGGCGGUCUGUUAAGUCAGCGGUAAAAGCCCGGGGCUCAACCCCGGCGCGCCGUUGAAACUGGCAGUCUUGAGUUGGAGAGAGGUAUGGGGAAUGCGCGGUGUAGCGGUGAAAUGCGUAGAUAUGGCGCAGAACUCCGAUUGAGAAGGCAGCAUACCGGCUCCACACUGACGCUGAGGCACGAAAGCGUGGGUAUCGAACAGGAUUAGAUACCCGUGUAGUC